UACGUAGGGGGCAAGCGUUGUCCGGAUUUAUUGGGCGUAAAGAGCGUGUAGGCGGCCAGGUAGGUCAGCUGUGAAAACUCGAGGCUCAACCUCGAGACGCCGGUUGAAACCAUCUGGCUAGAGUCCGGAAGAGGAGAGUGGAAUUCCUGGUGUAGCGGUGAAAUGCGCAGAUAUCAGGAAGAACACCCGUGGCUAAGGCGGCUCUCUGGAACGGUACUGACGCUGAGACGCGAAAGCGUGGGGAGCGAACAGG
rnacentral:rRNA from 1 species